rnacentral:sRNA from 1 species
GAAUGGGCACACCCACGAGUUCUUCAAUCCUCUCAACAUAUUGCUGAGCAGCCUUUGGAAGAUCAGAGUAGUUUCUGACCGAGGAUAUGUCAGACUUCCACCCAGGUAAGACU